AACGAACGCUGGCGGCGCGCCUAAUACAUGCAAGUCGAACGAGAAUGUGUAGCAAUACACAUGUACAGUGGCGAACGGGUGAGGACUACAUGGGUAACCUACCCUCGAGUGGGGGAUAACCAGCCGAAAGGUUGGCUAAUACCGCGUACGCUUCCGGGACUGCGGUUUCGGAAGGAAAGCGAUACCGUGGGUAUCGCGCUCUUGGAUGGGCUCAUGCCCUAUCAGCUUGUUGGUGAGGUAACGGCUCACCAAGGCAUCGACGGGUAGCUGAUCUGAGAGGAUGAUCAGCCACACUGGCACUGCGACACGGGCCAGACUCCUACGGGAGGCAGCAGUAAGGAAUAUUGCGCAAUGGGCGAAAGCCUGACGCAGCGACGCCGCGUGGGGGAUGAAGGUCUUCGGAUUGUAAACCCCUUUUCGGGAGGGAAGAUGGGAUGGGGGUAACCCAUUCGGACGGUACCUCCAGAAGCAGCCACGGCUAACUUCGUGCCAGCAGCCG
rnacentral:rRNA from 1 species